GAUUGGCAAGAAUGAUGAUUCAAUUAGAUGUGUGAAAGGAGCAAUUCUUGAUGAACAUAAAACUUUUGAGGCAUAAUUAGUCUGACUUGCCAAUU
rfam:Spinacia oleracea cultivar SynViroflay scaffold1510.con0002.1, whole genome shotgun sequence.